AUUGAACGCUGGCGGCAGGCCUAACACAUGCAAGUCGAACGGCUGCAGGGUGCUUGCUCGCGGAUUCAGCGGCCGACGGGUGGAUAAUGCCUAAGAAUCUGCCUGUCUGCGGUGGCUUAGGUCCUAACACGGGCGCUCAUACCCCAUACCUCCAUACGGCGAACGUGGGGGAUCUUCGGAUCUCCCGACCUCAGGUGAUUCUAUGAGGCAUUAGCUAGUUGGUGGGGUAACGGCCUACCAAGGCGCCGAUCCGUAACUGGUCUGAGAGGAUGAUCAGACACACUGGAACUGAGACACGGUCCAGACUCCUACGGGAGGCAGCAGUGGGGAAUAUUGGACAAUGGGCGAAAGCCUGAUCCAGCCAUGCCGCGUGUGUGAAGAAGGUCUUCGGAUUGUAAAGCACUUUAGGUGGGAAGGAAGGGCAGUAAGUUAAUACCUGGCUGUUUUGACGGUACCAACAGAAUAAGCACCGGCUAACUUCGUG
rnacentral:rRNA from 1 species